GAGGGAGGAGGAGGAAGCGCGCCUCGGCCGCCGCAGUUGGAGUCGGAGCAGGGGAGAACAGCUUCAAAAAAUUAUUAAAAAUCGAGGAAAAAUCCUAGAAACUCUCUGUGGGCCUGAAAAUCCCAGAGAGACCCCAGGCUCCCUGGAAUAGAGGUUUCGGGUGUCAGUAAGGACUCUCUGGGGUCAGAUGUGGCAGGUGAAUCCUGGCUGAAGGAGAGAGGAAGCACCGAGGUCCACAUCCAUGGUGCUGAUGACAUGAAGUCCCCUGAGGCAUACACAAUUAUAUCAAGCAAGCAGUGACAUUGGAGUCAGCUGUGGGAAUACACAGCGGGGUCGUCUUCACAUCCCCGCGGAUGGUGACAGAGCCAGCGAAGAUUGUAGAAGUGAGAACUGUGCUGUUGCAUCCUCAGGCAAAUGAUUUCUUCUGUAAAUGUCUUCUCGGCAUGUCUAUGAAGAGACAUCCUCAGAGCCAAACUGCCUUCAUCGUCAUCACAUCUGUUUGCAAGAGACAGUCAUAGCUGACGAUGUUGACUGUGACCUACUUUUAUAUAAGGGGCACAGAGCAUCAUGGGACUUUCAU